rnacentral:misc_RNA from 1 species
CGCUCAUGUUCAUUGACG